GGAAAAGAAACCAACAGGGAUUGCCUUAGUAGCGGCGAGUGAAGCGGCAAAAGCUCAAAUUUGAAAUCUGGCUCUUUCAGAGUCCGAGUUGUAAUUUGAAGAAGGUAUCUUUGGGUCUGGCUCUUGUCUAUGUUUCUUGGAACAGAACGUCACAGAGGGUGAGAAUCCCGUGCGAUGAGAUGAUCCAGGCCUAUGUAAAGUUCCUUCGAAGAGUCGAGUUGUUUGGGAAUGCAGCUCUAAGUGGGUGGUAAAUUCCAUCUAAAGCUAAAUAUUGGCGAGAGACCGAUAGCGAACAAGUACAGUGAUGGAAAGAUGAAAAGAACUUUGAAAAGAGAGUGAAAAAGUACGUGAAAUUGUUGAAAGGGAAGGGCUUGAGAUCAGACUUGGUAUUUUGUAUGUUACUUCUUCGGGGGUGGCCUCUACAGUUUAUCGGGCCAGCAUCAGUUUGGGCGGUAGGAGAAUUGCGUUGGAAUGUGGCACGGCUUCGGUUGUGUGUUAUAGCCUUCGUCGAUACUGCCAGCCUAGACUGAGGACUGCGGUUUAUACCUAGGAUGUUGGCAUAAUGAUCUUAAGUCGCCCGUCUU
rnacentral:rRNA from 1 species